rnacentral:rRNA from 1 species
GAUGAACGCUGCGGCGUGCCUAACACAUGCAAGUCGAACGGGGUUCUAUAUCGGAAGUUUUCGGAUGGAAGAGAUAGGACCCAGUGGCGGACGGGUGAGUAACACGUGGGUAACCUGCCUCAUAGAGGGGGAUAACAGAGAGAAAUCACUGCCAAUACCGCAUAAGCACACGGGAUCGCAUGAUCCAGGGUGAAAAGAUUUAUCGCUAUGAGAUGGACUCGCGUCUGAUUAGCUGGUUGGCGGGGUAAAGGCCCACCAAGGCGACGAUCAGUAGCCGAUCUGAGAGGAUGGCCGGCCACAUUGGGCCUGAGACACGGCCCAGACUCCUACGGGAGGCAGCAGUGGGGGAUAUUGCACAAUGGAGGGAACUCUGAUGCAGCAACGCCGCGUGAGUGAAGAAGUAUUUCGGUAUGUAAAGCUCUAUCAGCAGGGAAGAUGAUGACAGUACCGAAUAA